UCGGGAAUUUUGGGCAAUGGGCGAAAGCCUGACCCAGCAACGCCGCGUGAAGGAUGAAAUCCCUCGGGAUGUAAACUUCGCAAGAAUGGAAAGAAUAAGUGGGUGCUAAUACCAUCCAUGAUGACGGUACCAUUUGUAAGCUCCGGCUAACUCCGUGCCAGCAGCCGCGGUAAUACGGGGGGAGCAAGCGUUGUUCGGAUUUACUGGGCGUAAAGGGCGCGUAGGCGGCCACCGCAAGUCAGUCGUGAAAUCUCCGGGCUUAACUCGGAACGGUCGACUGAUACUGCGGGGCUAGAGUGCGGAAGGGGCAACUGGAAUUCUCGGUGUAGCGGUGAAAUGCGUAGAUAUCGAGAGGAACACCUGCGGCGAAGGCGGGUUGCUGGGCCGACACUGACGCUGAUGCGCGAAAGCCAGGGGAGCGAACGGGAUUAGAUACCCCCGUAGUCC
rnacentral:rRNA from 1 species